rnacentral:rRNA from 1 species
UACGGAGGGUGCAAGCGUUAUCCGGAUUCACUGGGUUUAAAGGGUGCGUGGGUGGGCAGGUAAGUCAGUGGUGAAAUCUCCGGGCUUAACCCGGAAACUGCCAUUGAUACUAUUUGUCUUGAAUACCGUGGAGGUCAGCGGAAUAUGUCAUGUAGCGGUGAAAUGCUUAGAUAUGACAUAGAACACCAAUUGCGAAGGCAGCUGGCUACACGAAUAUUGACACUGAUGCACGAAAGCGUGGGGAUCAAACAGG